CGUAGGUGGCAAGCGUUGUCCGGAUUUAUGGGUUUAAAGGGUGCGUAGGCGGCUUUGUAAGUCAGUGGUGAAAUAUGGCAGCUCAACUGUCAGGGUGCCAUUGAUACUGCGGAGCUUGAGUACAGAUGAGGUAGGCGGAAUUGACGGUGUAGCGGUGAAAUGCUUAGAUAUCGUCAAGAACACCGAUAGCGAAGGCAGCUUACUGGGCUGUAACUGACGCUGAGGCACGAAAGUGUGGGGAUCAAACAGGAUUAGAUACCCUGGUAGUCCACACUGUAAACGUUGAUGACUCGCUGUUGGCGAUACACAGCCAGCGGCAGAGAGAAAUCGUUAAGUCAUCCACCUGGGGAGUACGCCGGCAACGGUG
rnacentral:rRNA from 1 species